UUUCAAACGGGUGUGUGGCUGGUCCCAAA
rnacentral:piRNA from 1 species